GAGUUGUAGGCAUGGCUGACACUGGUAUGCAUGGAGCUCUUUGCCGGAGAAAUCUAAAGGCAUGAAUAAGCCAAUGGGAGCUCUUAGCAUGGCUGAACGAUAUGGUUGGCCUCGACAAGUUGGAAGACAACUUGGGUGAAAAGAUGAAAGAUGGAUUUCAACGAAGAGCGUCUGGUUUUGUCAGAAAAAGAUGUCUUCCCUACUUGGCUGUGAGCUCAUUCACAAUAUAGAUCAUAUUCUACCUUGGCAUCCUGGUAUGUAGCAGAGAAUCAGUAAGUGCCUGCUGGAUUGAUUUGAAUGCCAACGUCACAGGUAUCUCAGAAGACUCACAAGCCUGAGUAUACAGGGUAAGGAAAAAAUUGAGAUUAGCUCUACUUUCCCAGCCUUCUGAUGCCAGAGGCAUGAAAGACCUCAAAUAUGAAAAGGUUUCUAAUUUGAGAUGUUCCAGUGGAGUCCAUUUUCCUCUUAAUUUAUUUUUGGCUGAUUUGGA